rnacentral:rRNA from 1 species
UACGUAGGGGGCGAGCGUUGUCCGGAUUUAUUGGGCGUAAAGAGCUCGUAGGCGGUUUGGUAAGUCGGGUGUGAAAUCUCCACGCUCAACGUGGAGGGGCCACUCGAUACUGCCAUGACUCGAGUCCGGUAGAGGAGUGUGGAAUUCCCGGUGUAGCGGUGAAAUGCGCAGAUAUCGGGAGGAACACCCGUAGCGAAGGCAGCACUCUGGACCGGACCUGACGCUGAGACGCGAAAGCGUGGGGAGCGAACGGG